rnacentral:rRNA from 1 species
CCUACGGGUGGCUGCAGUGAGGAAUAUUGGUCAAUGGACGAGAGUCUGAACCAGCCAAGUAGCGUGAAGGAUGACUGUCCUAUGGGUUGUAAACUUCUUUUAUCUGGGAAUAAAACGUUCCACGUGUGGGAUUUUGUAUGUACCAUAUGAAUAAGGAUCGGCUAACUCCGUGCCAGCAGCCGCGGUAAUACGGAGGAUCCGAGCGUUAUCCGGAUUUAUUGGGUUUAAAGGGAGCGUAGGUGGAUUGUUAAGUCAGUUGUGAAAGUUUGCGGCUCAACCGUAAAAUUGCAGUUGAAACUGGCAGUCUUGAGUAGAGGAGAGGUGGGCGGAAGUCGUGGUGUAGCGGUGAAAUGCUUAGAUAUCACGAAGAACUCCGAUUGCGAAGGCAGUUCACUGGACUGCAACUGACACUGAGGCUCGAAAGUGUGGGUAUCAAACAGGAUUAGAUACCCCUGUAGUC